rnacentral:lncRNA from 1 species
UGGCAUAGACAGCAAAGGGGCUGGCUGAGAAGGCAGCAUUGGAGACGCAGUUAGAAAUAAAAACCGGAGAGCUCUGAGCCCGCUGCGGGUCUCCUGAGACAAACAUGUGAAGCCCCUCCUUGGCCUGCUCUGCCGCAAGUCAUUAAUCAACUUCUUACACCUCAUCUGAAGGAGGGACAGCUCCGUUUCCUCUCCCUGCCAGCCAGCUGGACGAGCACUAGGGAGGACCGGCUCAGAGCCCUGGGUGGCACAUCCUCAGCCGCGACGGAGCGCAGUGUGUUUGGGUGUCGCCCUUGGGGCUACUCGUGAGGUGACCACUUGUGUACGGUGCCUGAUGCUUCUGUUGCUGGAGCAAUGGAGAAAGAUACCACUUGGCCACAGGCCUUCAAGAUUUUAUCAGUUUUCUCCGAGGACUCACAUGUCAGAGGCACUGUGGGGACCACGGGACAUUCCCUGCUAACUGACAAUGAAGAUGUAAAACUUCAGUCCAACGAGAAGAGUGAAGCCGAUGCUUCACGGAGCUGUUGGCUACUGCUGCACAGCGCGGUGCCGCUGCUGCCCGAGGCCCUGGUCCAGUGUUCCUGCCUCUGUGCGUCAUGCGACCCCGGGCAAGGCCAUUGUCUCCGCACUUCAAAGGGGAAUCACGAAGAAAGUCUUACAUGCACACAAGUAUUAUUUGUUAUUAAUUACAUGGCAUAAUAAUCUCAGAUGAACAGGAUUUUGCCAUCCCUUUAAUAUUGUUAAAAUGUUUAUUUCUAUUUUGUUCAUUUAGUAUUUUGAUUUUUAAGGAAAAAUUUAAACUUUUUUAAUGGUCAAAGGUUUUUAUUUUCUGUUUAUCAGGCCACAUUUUCUGUUGACAUACGUCAAAAAUACACAUGGAGGGCAUCAACUGCACAACUCAAUAUUCUUUUGGAUUACUUUUUAAGAAAAAAAAAGGGAACAAAAACCUUAAAACAACACCUGCUCCUUGCAGAAUUUGACCUGACCCCUUUCUCCUUUGCUUGUUAUUAUAAA